rnacentral:lncRNA from 1 species
UUACAAUGAGUUAAUUUGAUUUACAACGACUCAUGAACAAGUCAAACACGAAUAUGGCCAAACCAACAACCGACCUUUUGACAGAAUGAAUUAGUGUUUCUUCAGGUCCUACUAAUCUAGUGAUAUAGAAGAUUAGCACCAGAUAACACAAGCCAUUUUACAUCAUUUAGUCCAAAAGGUAGACUCUACAUAAAAUUAUGUUGCAUAGGGACAGUAGGUGAAACUUUUUUUUUGGGAAGGAAAAAAGCUAUCUAUUUAACGGCAGAGUAGUUAGCAUCAUUUUUUCUCAGGUAGCUUCCAUGCAAUGAAAAUGUUGUUUUUGAUUCUCUCCAUCAUCUCACCAUAUGUAUUUCUUACCGAGUGAUAGAAUUAUAAGCAUGAUUUGG